rfam:Helianthus annuus linkage group 3, whole genome shotgun sequence.
AUACCUUUCUCGGCCUUUUGGCUAAGAUCAAGUGUAGUAUCUGUUCUUAUCAGUUUAAUAUCUGAUAUGUGGGUCAUCGGCCCACUCGAUAUUAAUCUUAUUUUUUAUGGGGAAAGACCCGUCACAAUAGCUUGCUAUUGGGGUCUUUAAGCGUCGCCUUUGUGUUGCACUACUGCCUUGGCCUGGCGCACCCCUC